UACGGAGGGUGCAAGCGUUGUCCGGAUUUAUUGGGUUUAAAGGGUGCGUAGGCGGUUCUUUAAGUCCGGGGUGAAAGCCCACUGCUCAACAGUGGAACUGCCCUGGAAACUGGCAAACUUGAGUACAGACGAGGGUGGCGGAAUGGAUGGUGUAGCGGUGAAAUGCAUAGAUACCAUCCAGAACCCCGAUUGGGAAGGCAGCUGCCUAGACUGUAACUGACGCUGAGGCACGAAAGCGUGGGGAGCGAACAGG
rnacentral:rRNA from 1 species